ensembl:lncRNA
GGACAGAUUAGACACACGUGUGUUUAUCUGCUGCAGAGAGACUGAUGGAGCAAUGCUGCCAUCAAAGACUCUCAGUGCGUACACUACAGAAAUGAAUAAAACAUAUUUUAUAUCUUAAGUUGUAGGUUAUUUUAAUUAUUGUAAUGUGAAACAGAGCUGUUGCACGUGUCUAAUUCUUGAUUGCUGUAUAUUUGCUGCAGAUCUUUUGUGGUGGAGCAGGACCUGCAAGGAAAGGUGACAGCGGCAUUUGUGGAAAAAAAAAAAAAGGAAAAACUGAAACAAAAAUAUAAAGUAAGAAAUCAUUUUGUUGUUUCUAAUACAGAAAUCAAAUGACAUUGUGCUGUUAAAAUGACUGCUUGUGUAUUAUGUUGUGCAUCUUUGCAGGAUCUGAAAUGUCUGCAGACUAGAAGUCCACAGCAUCAUCCUGGAAAUGGUCCAGUGUCAUGGAUGAGAGGCUCCAUCACUCCACCUGCUUUUACUGUCUCAUCAGGACCAGAUGCUGCUGUGGUCUCUUCAUCCUCAGUUACCCCAAAGACGACGCUUUUAUCUGAAGUGACUUGCAGUGCGCUUAUUACAGAGACCCCAAUCCCCCUGCAGCUAUUUGGAGUAAAGACAGCGCUGGUGACGACUGUGGAGAUCGAACCAGCAACCUUCUGCUCACCAGUUCACUACACCACAAAAGUAGUGGUGCUCAUAGAGAGCAGCACACAGAUGUUUGGAGCAGACAGCAGCAGUCAGAUUGUCCCACAUGUGUUCUUCUGAUCUUGUUCAGGGUUGUGUGGUUCAGCUGCAUCAUCAUGGUCUUCCUCAUCCUCUCUGUGCACUCAGACUAUGACAGUGUUGAUGUCCCUUUCCCAUCCAUGAUCAGAUUCAGUCUGACUGCAGCAGUGAGGGACGUGAUGGACAGCAGAGACAGGUCUCAGCUGUGUUGAGAUGACAACAGGAUGUGGUUUCACUGCCUGUAAAUACAUGAUUGUCAGAACAAUGUUUGAAUAAAGCCUUUUCAUGUGUUGUUGACUACUUGUAU